UCUUUACCAUAUAAUAUUACUUAACCAAUAUGCGUAUCGCCAACUAUCGCUCAAUCUUCGAUAAAGAGAAAAAAAAGCUAUCGCUCAAUCUCAAAACCCUAACUUUCGAAGUUUUUCUUCUCCUCUGGCGGAGCUUCUGUUUCAUCGAAAGGGAGAAUGAGUAGCCGCGCGAGCAGAACUCUCUAUGUUGGAAAUCUGCCCGGUGAUAUUCGCGAGAGAGAAGUGGAGGAUUUAUUUUACAAGUAUGGUCCCAUAGCACACAUUGAUCUCAAGAUCCCACCAAGACCCCCUGGUUAUGCAUUUGUUGAGUUUGAAGAGGCUCGGGAUGCAGAAGAUGCAAUUCGUGGUCGUGAUGGCUAUGACUUUGAUGGGCAUCGAUUACGAGUGGAGCUUGCACAUGGAGGGCGUGGACAUUCAUCCUCAGAUCGCCAUAGUAGUUACAGUGGUGGUCGGGGACGAGGAGUAUCUAGGCGCUCUGAGUAUCGUGUUUUGGUCACUGGGUUACCUUCGUCUGCUUCGUGGCAAGACCUCAAGGAUCACAUGCGGCGUGCUGGUGAUGUCUGCUUCUCUCAAGUGUUUCGUGAUGGUAGCGGUACCACAGGGAUUGUGGAUUACACAAACUAUGAAGACAUGAAGGCAGCAAUCAAGAAACUUGAUGACUCCGAGUUUCGAAAUGCAUUUUCCCGGGCAUAUGUUCGUGUGAGGGAGUAUGAUUCUAAGCGGGACUUGUCUAGGAGCCCCAGUCGUGGCCGUUCUUAUUCAAGAGGCCGUAGUGGUAGUCGCAGCCGUGGCCGAAGUUCUAGCCGGAGCAGGAGCAAAUCACCUAAAACCAAGUCGUCAAGACGCACGCCUGUUAGGUCAAGAUCAAGGUCUGCUUCUCGGUCCCGCUCUGGAUCAAAGCCACAUUCUCUGUCAAGCGAACUGGGGAUUGGAUAAUAGGAUCUUGAUUGGAUAUGGUUCAGUUCCUGCAUCUUUUUGGGUUGUGGAGAUUGGGAACAAAGGAGAUUAUGGAUUGCAUAGUAAAGCUGGAUUUCUGGUGAACUAACUGCUAGUGGAUCUGGAAGUCACCAGCAAUGUGCGGUAGAAACUAUAUCAUUAUCAUUUUCUACUCCAACAGAUGCCAAGCUAAUAGGACCUGCUAGCUGGACUCACUGUGGAUUUUGUGGUACAGUAGGGAAGCAUGCUUCUUUCUGUCCAAUGGUGUCUUGGAAACCUAUUAUAAUUCUUUAGUUGAGAUUUGUUUUCUUCUCCAUCUAGUUAGGUAUAUUGUUUGGGUGGAAUUUUAUGCACUGGGCCUUUCUUUCCCCUUCUUGUUUUCUCUCUAAUUGCUAAAGAUUUAUGUCUGUCUUUUAUACCUUUUGAAUUUGGUAACUCUGACGUGGAAGAGGCAUCAAGGCUCUUGGAUGAGAGUUCUUAAAAGGAACGUGUGGAUUUUAAAUUUGGGUUGUUUCUGGAACUUUUGCAGAUCGCAUUCAAGAUCAAGAUCUCCACUUCCAGUUCGUCAGAAACGGACUAGCAAGAGUCCAAAAAAGCGGAGUGUCAGCCGGAGCCCAAGUGGUAGCAGAAGCAGAAGUAGGAGCAGGAGCUUAUCCCGGUGAAAUGUGACUGGCGAAUCCAUCUGAGUCGGGAAAACUUGAAUGAGCAUGUGAUGCUUAAGUUGCCCUGUUAAAUAGUUGAAGUUGUUGAUUGCUGAAGGCAAUCAAACUCUGAGAACAAUAUUUUUUUUUUCUUUUGGGGGCAAGACAGUUGGAUUCUUGUGGCUUGCACAUUUUCUAGACGUGAUGUGGAUUCUGUGUCCAAACUGAGAACUCUAUUUUGAUGGAUUUAAGUGACUAUAAUGUAGAUUGAUGCUAAUUUAUUUUAAGAGGCCAGUUUUAAACAA